rnacentral:tRNA from 8 species
GCGGGAAUAGCUCAGUUGGUAGAGCACGACCUUGCCAAGGUCGGGGUCG